rnacentral:tmRNA from 1 species
GGGGGCGAAAUGGCUUCGACGGGGAUAAAGAAGCUUAGGCUGCAUACCGAGCUCCUAUCGGCUCGUAAAAAUGGUGGGAACAUAAAUAUAAUCGCAGAUGAUUAUGAAUUAGCCCUGGCCGCUUAAAAGGCCAGCGUCCUGCAGGAUUUUUCCUGCGCAUCUUGCAAGGGCGUCGACUAGCAGGAUAGUCGGUAUUGAAUGCCUGUUUUAAUACUGGUGAACUUUUAACAGGAUAGUUUUUUUAGUAUCUUGCCCGAAGGAGACUAAAAAAGCGAAAUUAAAAUUCGGAAUAAGUAUGUAGACGUCUAUGCGGAAUAUUUUCGGACGCGGGUUCAACUCCCGCCGCCUCCACCA